rnacentral:lncRNA from 1 species
CCCCGCCCCACCCCUACCUCCUUGAUGGCAAUAGCUUUGAAGCUUUUGUGUUAAUUCUGACAAUGAAGUGCAUGUAUUUCACUCUUACAGAGUCUGCUGACAGAAUGAAAAGUGUCAGUGUCAUUAAAAAUGACACUCUCUCAUGAUUACAUCUUGCCAGUGCAAUAUGUAUAAAUUGACUCUAGUGAUUUCCCCACAACAAGUUUUUACGCCAAUACUAGCCCCUUUGUUGUCCUCUGUUCAUUUCUUCCUAGUCUGCUGUGCUGUCAGAUAAUCUAUUUCUGAUUAUUUUCAUUUGCUGCACACCGAAAUACAUUUCCUCAAGAUUCUGUAUGUGAUUAAGGGCUCAUCCUUACUUCUGCUUGUCCCAAGCCCAGAAAGCCUAGGUCCACAUGGUUUUUCUAGGCAUGAGUCUGCACAGUUUUCCUCUUACUCCAUUCCUUUCACAGGGAAAACCCAGGACUCAGCAAAUAAAACAUUUUCAAUGUGUUACAAAGUGCAAUAUACAAAUGUGACACUAGAUGGCGAGAGUGAGCUAUGCCAAAUUCAAAGUAUUUUUCAAAACUUUUUUUUAAAAAAGCAUUUUCACAGUGUUUUUAUAUGCUCUAAAUCAGAACAAGAAUCUGUGAAAAACCUGACUGAGCACUAAAGAGUGGUUUUCCCCAGGGAAAAGCAGUGGAGGAAGAAGAAGUUUGGAUAAACCCUAAAUGGUUGUGUAAGACUUAAGAAUGAAUUAUGGUCCAGUACACUUUAACUUAUUCCACUUUUUCUUACAGAUAUGCUCAGGCCCCAAGAUUUGCCUUAUAUCUUUGCAUUUUUUAAAAAUCCCAUCUGUUUCUCAGUUGCUCUUUAUCCUUUUUCUGUUUUCACCUGUCUUUCAGGUACCAAGCUGCUCUGUAUAAAAUGAAGCUCUGUGUUUCCCAUUUGCUAUAAUGGGGAAUUCAAAAUUGGCUAUAAUAUACAGUGCUGCGCUGGAAAUUUCCCCAGCAUUUCUUUCUGGCAAUUCACCUUCAAUCAAUGAGAAAAAGAAUUGCAUUCAGAAGAGAAGGGGAAAUUCUCAUGGUGCUCCCCCCUCACACUUUUCUUAUGGUUGAGGAGAUGCUUAUGAGUAACUUUUCUUUUCUUCUAUAGCUCUUGUUCCCAGUGGUUGGAACUCUGCAGCCUUCCUGGGUCCUCACUCUUUCUAAAAACCCAACAAAGUCCUUGGGUGGGCUUUCCUACAGGAAUAGAAAGCUGAAGAAGCUGUCUAAUGUGAGCCUGAGAGCUGUUAGUUUUUAUUUAAUUGCAAGUGGGGGGAAAGCCUGUAAAUUUCAGGUGUGUGGCACGCUUCUCUGGUUUCUCAUGCUUCAAAUAAAGCACAGGAGAAGCCAUUUUGAGGCAACGCCUCCCAAAGAAGAGUUUGGAUUUGAUAUCCCGCUUUAUCACUACCCUAAGGAGUCCCAAAGCAGCUAACAAUCUCCUUUCCUUUCCUCCCCCACAACAAACACUCUGUGAGGUGAGUGAGGCUGAGAGACUUCAGAGAAGUGUGACUAGCCCAAGGUCACCCAGCAGCUGCAUGUGGAGGAGCAGGGAAGCGAACCCAGUUCCCCAGAUUACAAGACUACCGCUCUUAACCACUACACCACACUGGCUCUUUUCAGUUCUGGAAGCCAGGGAGGCUGAAUAACCAUGGACUGAAAGGCAGGAGAUAAACUGAAAGGAAAUAAGUUGCUAGCACAGCUUCAGAUCCCAUUCUACAAUUAACAGCUGAGGUGUUAAUUGGGGUGCUGAAGUCAUGAGAAGGUGAUAAGGGAAACCACACCUGUUGGUUUUUUUUUCAUUCUUUAUAUUCAUAAUGCAUGCUUUCUGAUGUCAUCAAUUUCGCAGGGAAGUAAGUUUUUAUCACUGCUAUAUUUGCAAUGUAUAAAUGGGAAUUUUUGGGUUUCUCCCCCUUGGUUGCUUUUAUUUUUUGUUUUAUAGUUACAACACCCGUUCCCUCUUUUUGUGGCUCCUGUGUCUUUAAAAGUAGCUUGAUGCAGAGUAUGCUUUUUAAAAAUAAAUAAAACUAGUUUGACAUACUGCAGUGACCAGAGGGUGUGUGCUGUUCAAGAGGCACAAACCUGAGGCCAGCUUUCUUUUCUUUUUAAAGCCACACCUAUAUAUGUUAUGGAACUCAAGCCAGCCAGAAGUGAAACUGGACAGAGGUGGAUUUUGGAUCAAUGCAAACUGGGAGUCCACUGCAGUUGGGACUAGGCCACUGCCUGUUUUUCCCUUUCUGUGUCCAAUAAAUUAAGGUUGUACCUAAGGAAAUUACUGCAUUCAGAUGUGGGGAUUAAUGCAUAAGUUUAACUUAAGCUAGUACUCCUAUCCUGGAUUCUAACAUUCCUUUUACAUUUCAUUACCUGUUGCAUUACAGAACUGUGGCUUUUUGAUCUACACACCACCAUGUUGUGCUAAAUUUCAAAGGCAUACUUGGCAACUGUCCCAAUUUGAGUGGGGCACCCCAAAAUUACAGAAGCCAUCCUGGCUUCCAAUUAGAUCCCAGGAUGUCUAGUUUCAGUUCCCACAAGAGUGCGGCCCCCAAAUAUGCUCAUUUGGGGGGGCAGGCUCUUAUGGGAGUUAUGUGACUCAUGCAGGAGUUCAACCUUGAAAUAUGCAUGCCCUGGUUUUCCUCAGCGGCAUGUUGGAGGGCAUGUAAAUGGCAGAAAAGAUUCUAGAUGCCUCCAAGUCAAGAUACUGGGAUGCUUAGUCUUAAAGCAUGGGUGGUGCUGUGGGUUAAACCACAGAGCCUAGGACUUGUCAAUCAGAAGGUCAGCGGUUCGAAUCCCCAUGACGGGGUGAGGUCCUGUUGUUCGGUCCCAGCUCCCGCCAACCUAGCAGUUUGAAAGCACAUCAAAGUACAAGUAGAUAAAUAGGUACCGCUCCAGCGGGAAGGUAAACGGCGUUUCCGUGCACUGCUCUGGUUCGCCAGAAGCUGCUUAGUCAUGCUGGCCACAUGACCCGGAAGCUGUACGCCGGCUCCCUCAGCCAAUCAAGCGAGAUGAGCGCCACAACCCCAGAAUCGGCCACGACGGGACCUAAUGGUCAGGGGUCCCUUUACCUUUAGCCAAACUAAGGCCCAGGGGCCAGAUCUGGCCCAAUCUCCUUCUCAAUCUGGCCCGCCGACGGUCCGGGAAUCAGUGUGUUUUACAUGAGUUGAAUGUGUCCUUUUAUUUAAAAUGCAUCUCUGGGUUAUUUGCGGGGCCUGCUUGGUGUUUUUACAUGAGUAGAAUGUGUGCUUUUAUUUAAAAUGCCUCUCUGGGUUAUUUGUGGGACAUAGGUAUUCAUUCAUAUAUAUUUUUCCCAAAAUAUAGUCCGGCCCCCCACAAGGUCUGAGGGGUAGUGGACCGGCCCCCUGCUGAAAAAGUUUGCUGACCCCUGUCUUAAAGGAUGGCAUUGAUAUAAUGGGCAUAAUUGAAACUUGGUGGGCUGGAGAGAACCAAUGGGAUGCAGUUAUCCCAGGAUAGAAUACAAUCCCAGGUCUUAAUACAACCCUAACACUUAGGUCCAGAUUACUUUGUUAAAUAUGUUACUGGCAAAUUCCUGAAUCAGAUAGAUAUGAUUUCCUCAUGUGGGGAAUCAUAUAUACCGAUCAAACUUCCAGAUUCCUAAAAACCAUUGGAUCUCCUUUCUUCCCUUCAGUGCAAAUCACAGGAGAAGCAACUGCCCCAAUACCCAAGAUGGAUAAUAAUUUUGUAUAGGCCUCACCAACCUAGUGUUCUCCAGUUUUGAACUACCAAAUCCCAUAAUACUUGACUGUUAGCUAUACUGGCUGUAGCUGAUGGGAGUUUAAGUCUAAAACACUGAGCUGGUGAAAGCUGAUUUAGUUCCAAAAACCUAAACCAGCACAGGAAGCAAAACCAUCUUCAGGAGAUAUCUGGAGUAUGACAAUUUGGGGAGAUGAGAGCUGUUAGAUAUCACCUCUCAAAAAGCAAGAGAUGGGUUAAGUGUCAACACCUUAGUGGUUAAAGCUUACUGGGGAAUGAUAUAUAAUGAAUUGAAAAAUAUGUUUAAUUUAACAUUUUUAAAAAAACAAAAACCAGAAGCUUUUCUCUUGGGAAUCAUGGGAUCAGAGUUACCUAAACCAUAUAGAAAUUUAUUUAAGUAUGCAACCAUUGCCGCAGGAAUGACAUUCACCC